rnacentral:lncRNA from 13 species
CAGCAACAAAGCACCAUCUUGGACGCAUGUCACACUUGUACACACCACAUGCAGAAUCUGUUGGUGCCUUGAUGGUGGGCUUUCCAGCAUCCAAACUUGUUUUGCUCUGUCAACUGUUUGUUAGAAGAUUUCAUGCCAGAGAAAAUUGAGUUUCAUAUCCAUGCUCAUAGAUCACAGUCUGAAUACAACUUGCUGCACUCCACUUGGCAGGGACAUGGAUGAAUCUGGAGAACAUCAUCCUCAGCAAACUGACACAAGAACAGAAAAUGAAACACCGCAUAUUCUCACUCAUAGCACCACUCGUGCUUGCUGCACCAGUAAAGCCAUCCUGUUGUGUGAAGCUAGCAUCUCUCCCAGUUAAUAACCACAUCAUACUGUUCUCUUCAAUAUCAAGAUUUCAAACCCAUCUCUUGAGUGCCAAUUUC